rnacentral:rRNA from 1 species
CCUACGGGUGGCAGCAGUGGGGGAUAUUGCACAAUGGGGGCAACCCUGAUGCAGCGACGCCGCGUGAGCGAUGGAGUACUUCGGUAUGUAAAGCUCUGUCAGCAGGGAAGAGAAUGACGGUACCUGACCAAGAAGCCCCGGCUAAAUACGUGCCAGCAGCCGCGGUAAUAAGUAUGGGGCAAGCGUUAUCCGGAUUUACUGGGUGUAAAGGGGGCGUAGGCGGGAGGGCAAGCCUGAUGUGAAAGCCCGGGGCUCAACCCCGGGACUGCAUUGGGAACUGCCCCGCUCGGGUGCCGGAGGGGGAGGCGGAAUUCCGAGGGUAGCGGUGAAAUGCGUAGGUAUUAGG